rnacentral:misc_RNA from 1 species
GGACUUGGGAAAUUAUAUCUCCAAUAGAACCAAUGAAGGGUGGACUCGAGGUAAAAAACUAAAAAGCAUAUUUGAGCCAAAUGUGGAAGUGGAACACAAUAUAGUUUCACUAAUCGACAGUAGUCGCGUCUAGAGAAAGAAUACCAGCAACAAAAUAAUCAGAUCGAGGUAUUCAUUCCAAUUUACACUAAACAAACAGAAGGUAAACCAUCAAUUUGAAGGAGACUUGAAAGCGAGCACCAAAAGGACAGUGGAAAAAGAUAACAGCAGCAUCACCUGAAGAAUCACCUCCAUUAGGCCACAGAGCUUGAUCCUCUUACAUUUAAUUCUUUCCCUUGCCAAUUUCAUCUUCAAAUCUCUGAUUUCUUCCAUCAUCAGAUCCUUCUCCCGCAAAUAGAUUUCAAGCGCACAUAAGAAUUUUGAGUCGGACUGAAAACAAAGCCUAGGUUCAACAAUUCAAUCGAGAGCAAGAGAUACCGAGGAGUGUAUAACUGACCUCGUCUUGACCGUUGCUUGUGGUUUUGAAGUGGCGAUUUGGGAAUGCUUUCAACGAAUAAAGCAGAAUACAGACUUUGGCACAGCGAAUUGCUAUCUGCGAUCUUAGAGCUUCAUCUUUGCUCUCCAUUUGGGGCCGUUCCUUUACUCUCUCUCUCUCUCUCUCU